rnacentral:misc_RNA from 1 species
UAAAUAAAUAAAUAAAUAAAUAAUCCUCAAUGCUCAGUAAUAGAGAAGCCAAAGCUACUUAUCUGCAGCAGAACAAUUCCACGUAGCCAACACCCAUGCAGCCUUGAGAGAGAAAGAGUCUGAAUUUCCUAUAACAAAGGCGAGAAUUUAGGGAGAAGAACAUCUUCUACCAAGUACACAGCCCUCAAGAAGGAGAAAAAAAUUGGGUAUUUAGACACUGAUGUGUGUUUCUGAAUAUUUAUAAGUAGAGGGUUCAGCAGGUUCAAUGUAUGGGAAGAUCUGGUGGGUCCAAACUGACAUUUUACAAGCUUUGAUUCCACACUUUAUGCACACUCCAAUGUCUCAACAAGAUUAAUUCGCCAUAUAAGGGAUAGUACCAACAAAAAUUUGAGUUGGCAGUACAAUUUUUUUAUUCUCCAGGAGAGUUG